GCAUAUCAAUAAGCGGAGGAAAAGAAACCAACAGGGAUUGCCCUAGUAACGGCGAGUGAAGCGGCAACAGCUCAAAUUUGAAAUCUGGCUUUCGGGCCCGAGUUGUAAUUUGUAGAGGAUGAUUUUGAUGCGGUGCCUUCCGAGUUCCCUGGAACGGGACGCCAUAGAGGGUGAGAGCCCCGUCUGGUUGGAUGCCAAAUCUCUGUAAAUCUCCUUCGACGAGUCGAGUAGUUUGGGAAUGCUGCUCUAAAUGGGAGGUAUAUGUCUUCUAAAGCUAAAUACCGGCCAGAGACCGAUAGCGCACAAGUAGAGUGAUCGAAAGAUGAAAAGCACUUUGAAAAGAGAGUUAAAAAGUACGUGAAAUUGUUGAAAGGGAAGCGUUUAUGACCAGACUUGGGCUUGGUUAAUCAUCUGGGGUUCUCUCCAGUGCACUUUUCCAGUCCAGGCCAGCAUCAGUUUUCGCCGGGGGAUAAAGGCUUCGGGAAUGUGGCUCCCCUCGGGGAGUGUUAUAGCCCGUUGUGUAAUACCCUGGUGGGGACUGAGGUUCGCGCUUCUGCAAGGAUGCUGGCGUAAUGGUCAUCAACGACCCGUCUUGAAACACGGACCAAGGAGUCGUCUUCGUAUGCGAGUGUUCGGGUGUCAAACCCCUACGCGUAAUGAAAGUGAACGCAGGUGAGAGCUUCGGCGCAUCAUCGACCGAUCCUGAUGUUCUCGGAUGGAUUUGAGUAAGAGCAUACGGGGCCGGACCCGAAAGAAGGUGAACUAUGCCUGUGUAGGGUGAAGCCAGAGGAAACUCUGGUGGAGGCUCGCAGCGGUUCUGACGUGCAAAUCGAUCGUCAAACAUGGGCAUGGGGGCGAAAGACUAAUCGAACCUUCUAGUAGCUGGUUUCCGCCGAAGU
rnacentral:rRNA from 1 species